GGGCUUCCUGGGGGAUGGGAUGGACGGGCGGUGGGAUGAGGCCAGAGAGCAGGGUCGGGGUGCUGUGUCGAGUCGGGGUGGAAGGGGUGUUGAGAGGUGUCUCUGGCAGAAUAGACGGCCGGUUGUGGAAGCAGUCGUGCGCCGGGGAGUGCUUUGAAGCUGGGUUUCGAUGUGAGAAGUUCUGUCCUGGAGGGAACUCUGCUAACCCUUUAGAAAAAUCAGGUUGCAGAGGAGACAUAUCUGGCAGAACGGACUUGACGUUGGUGCUGUGCUGAACAGAAUUAUUUCUUCUCCUUUUUUUUCAAGGAGAGUUUUUUCAGUCCAGGACAUGGGGGCUGCUGUCUGGGGUGGUGUUAAGUGAUCAUUCAAAGGUGGCAGCUUGAUUUUCAGCAAAUAGAAUUCAGUUCCCCAAGGUUUAAACUUCCCAGGCUGUGUUUUACUGCUUGCUGCUUAAGCUCAUCAGGGAGAGCAACAGACUCAUCCAGGGAAUUAGACUCAUUCCUAUUCCCUCGAGAACACUGAGGCUGGAUGCUGGGAGUCCAGGGGAGCUACUUACUCGUUAGGAUCACUGGUUUGUCAUCUGGGAGUGAAGGCGGGCUUGGAGGGCAAGCUGAUGAGUGAGCCUGUGGAUGAAGAUUUCUGAAAGUUGCCGUGGAUGCCGGAUCUGCUCACAAAGACGAAGCUGCCUUGAGCAGGGGUGUCUCACCUGGGUAGUGGGCCCCAGAGACGCUCGUGGUUGAUUAAUUACGGUGGAGGCACUCUCUGCCUUUCCCCCUGGGGAGAACAGGUCCCUUUUUUAAUAUGCAUGACUUCAUAUGUUUCAAGGCCUGAACUCAGGGACCAAGGGACCUGGCCGAGAGGGCUGUGGAAAAUGUGGGGAGGCCCCUGCAGGUUGGACGGAAUGCAUAUCUUAAGGUUAAUAAUUUCAUCACCUAAAACUGAUUUUUAUAUGGUAAGGUUUUAUGAACUGCUGGCAGCCUCUCUCGUCCGUUUUGUUUCUUAACCAUGCUCUCUCGCUGGCGCUGAGAUUGUGUGGGAGGAGGUGGGAUGCUGUGAGCUG
ensembl:lncRNA